CAUAAUAAGUGGGAUGAUAUAGCAAGAUAAAAACACAGGGCAGGAACAAUUAAUUUAGAGAACCCACCAUACAGGAGCCUGUGGAUUAUGGCUCCUGAAUCCCAAAGUAUACCAUCCCCAGCUGACUGCGUAAUGGAGUCAUUCUGGAACACCACCAGUAUUAACCCCUUAAGGACCAAUUUUCUGGAAUAAAAGAGAAUCAUGUCAUGUGUCCUUAAGGGGUUAAACUAAGUUUAGAGAUCUUAU